AAAGUAAAAAAAUUCAAAGAACAAAGUGGGAAAAAUGGAUGCAUAUGAUAAAGAUAUUAUCAUUUCGUAUAUAUUUGUGGAUAUUCUUACAAAUCAAGAAGAGUAAACGGACAGUGAAUCAAGGAUAUGAAUAAGUAGUUCAUGGAGGAAAUGUGUUUCUGUGUGUGUACAAAUAAGGCAUUGUAAAUGUGCACUGAAGAUUUAUAAUGGAGAUUAAAACAUUAAAUACCAUUUUCACUUAGUAGUGAAUACUUACAUUGGCCAGGUUGUAGAAAAGCAAACACUUUACCAUCAAUUAUUGUUGAGAACAAUCUGACUUCAUCUACCAAAAUUUACAAUGUAGUGUAGGGUUCUACUUCUAAGAUCUGCUUGCACAGAUACACAAAGAUAUAUGUACAAACAAUUUGACUGCAGCAUGGCUUGUAAUAAUAAGCAAUGGAUAGUCACCCCAUAGUUUCUUACAAGAGGACUCCUUAAAUUACAGUCUGCCCAGACAAUAUUCAGUUCUUAAAAAGAGUGAAUUAGAUCUGAGUGUACUGAUAUGGAAAAAUGUUCAAAUACAUGAAGUUAAAAAAAAAGCAAGCAAUGGAACAGUGUGGUUUGUGUGAUUCUCAUUUGAAUAUUUUAAAAAGUAUCAUCUAUAGAAUCCAUUGCAUGUUUGUAAAUCAUUUCUUAAAGGAUAUAAACUAUGAAAUGUGGUUACCUAUGGUAAGGGCACUUGGGGGACUCUGGUGAUAAGGAGAGGAAUUUUAUGUCAUAUACCAUUCUGCAUAAUUGAGGAUUUUCCUCUGAAUAUGUAAUAUUUUGGACAGAACUGAGUGACUAAGCACACACACACACAUAAUAUUUUUACAACAUGUGACAAAUUUAAUCAUUGGGACCAGUCUUGGUUAGGGCAGCAGAUUAUAUACAGGAGGUCUAGGUAUUUGUGUUUGCCUUUGCAGGUUGAGGAAACCAGAUGGGGUAAGAAACACAUGUGAUUACUCCAGAAAGAAUGACUUAGCGCAUGUCACCCUUAGGAAUGCAGUGUCACCAAGAACCUUGGACCAGCACUGAGGUGAGAUGGGACAGUCUCUAAGGCACAGAAUUCACAUCUUUCCUUUUCUCUUCUGGUGGUGCAGAGGGUGGUUCCUGGCACAGCUCUCCCUCUCUGCAUUCUCUGGAGAGCCAGCUCUGCCCUGGGUUUUUGCUACCUUGUCAUCAUACCCUGGGUCUCAUCUUCUGCUUGAAAAGAAAGAUGGUGCAAGAGAGCAGCCACUGUCACUGAAGAGACUCCUCAGCUUCCUCUCCUAGGCUCCAGCAUGACGAUUUGGAAUGGCCCUGUGCCAGAAGAAGGGGAUACCAUGGUAAACAAGAAACAGAUGAACAAAAGUAAAUGAUAAUCUGUGCUAGGUUUUGGAGACACUCUAAGGGACCAGAAGAGAGAAAAACAAUGGAUUUGGGAAUGUGGAUGAUUUUUGUCUGUGAGGCCUAUAAGAUCUUAACUCCCUGACCAGAAAUGGAACCCAUGCCCCAUGCAUUGGAAGUAGUCAUGUAUGGAUGUGAGAGUUGGACUAUAAAGAAAGCUGAGCACCAAAGAAUUGAUGCUUUUAACUCUGGUGUUGGAGAAGACUCUUGAGAGUCCCUUGAACUGCAAGGAAAUAAAAUCAGUCAAUCCUAAAGGAAAUCAGUCCUGGGUGUUCAUUGGAAAGACUGAUGCUGAAGCUGAAAUUCCAAUACUUUGGCCAUGUGAUGCAAAGAACUGAUUCAUUGGAAAAGACCCCGAUGCUAGGGAAGAUUGAAGGAGGAGAAGGGGACGACAGAGGAUGAGAUGGUUGGAUGGCAUCACCAACUCAAUGGACAUGAGUUUGAGCAAGUUCUGGGAGUUGGUGAUGAACAGAGAAGCCUGGUGUGCUGCAGUCUAUGGGGUCACAAAGAGACACGACUGAGCGACUGAACUGAACUGAACUGAAGAUAAAAUAUGAUGAACAUUUCUAACAUCAUUUGACACA